AGUCGAGGGGCAGCAUGGUCUUAGCUUGCUAAGGCCGAUGGCGACCGGCGCACGGGUGAGUAACACGUAUCCAACCUGCCGUCUACUCUUGGACAGCCUUCUGAAAGGAAGAUUAAUACAAGAUGGCAUCAUGAGUCCGCAUGUUCACAUGAUUAAAGGUAUUCCGGUAGACGAUGGGGAUGCGUUCCAUUAGAUAGUAGGCGGGGUAACGGCCCACCUAGUCUUCGAUGGAUAGGGGUUCUGAGAGGAAGGUCCCCCACAUUGGAACUGAGACACGGUCCAAACUCCUACGGGAGGCAGCAGUGAGGAAUAUUGGUCAAUGGGCGAGAGCCUGAACCAGCCAAGUAGCGUGAAGGAUGACUGCCCUAUGGGUUGUAAACUUCUUUUAUAAAGGAAUAAAGUCGGGUAUGCAUACCCGUUUGCAUGUACUUUAUGAAUAAGGAUCGGCUAACUCCGUGCCAGCAGCCGCGGUAAUACGGAGGAUCCGAGCGUUAUCCGGAUUUAUUGGGUUUAAAGGGAGCGUAGAUGGAUGUUUAAGUCAGUUGUGAAAGUUUGCGGCUCAACCGUAAAAUUGCAGUUGAUACUGGAUAUCUUGAGUGCAGUUGAGGCAGGCGGAAUUCGUGGUGUAGCGGUGAAAUGCUUAGAUAUCACGAAGAACUCCGAUUGCGAAGGCAGCCUGCUAAGCUGCAACUGACAUUGAGGCUCGAAAGUGUGGGUAUCAAACAGGAUUAGAUACCCUGGUAGUCCACACGGUAAACGAUGAAUACUCGCUGUUUGCGAUAUACUGCAAGCGGCCAAGCGAAAGCGUUAAGUAUUCCACCUGGGGAGUACGCCG
rnacentral:rRNA from 1 species